AUUGAACGCUGGCGGCAGGCCUAACACAUGCAAGUCGAGCGGAUGAAGGGAGCUUGCUCCUGGAUUCUGCGGCGGACGGGUGAGUAAUGCCUAGGAAUCUGCCUGGUAGUGGGGGAUAACGUCCGGAAACGGGCGCUAAUACCGCAUACGUCCUGAGGGAGAAAGUGGGGGAUCUUCGGACCUCACGCUAUCAGAUGAGCCUAGGUCGGAUUAGCUAGUUGGUGGGGUAAAGGCCUACCAAGGCGACGGUCCGUAACUGGUCUGAGAGGAUGAUCAGUCACACUGGAACUGAGACACGGUCCAGACUCCUACGGGAGGCAGCAGUGGGGAAUAUUGGACAAUGGGCGAAAGCCUGAUCCAGCCAUGCCGCGUGUGUGAAGAAGGUCUUCGGAUUGUAAAGCACUUUAAGUUGGGAGGAAGGGCAGUAAGUUAAUACCUUGCUGUUUUGACGUUACCAACAGAAUAAGCACCGGCUAACUUCGUG
rnacentral:rRNA from 1 species